rnacentral:lncRNA from 1 species
UUUUUUUUUUUUUUUUUCCUUCUUUUUUCUGGGUUGCAGCUGGUAGAUGGGGGAGAAGAGGAGAGGAGGGAGGGAGGAAGGGAAGGAGGAAGGAAGGAGAGGGUGGGGAGGGACGAAGCUUUGUUUUUUUGUUUGUUUGUUUGUUUUUUUUUUUUACUUUUCUUUAUUAUUUUAAUAUUUAAAAAAUAUUAAAUAAUUUUUUUUAGUUUUUAAUAAUAUUUUAUUAAUUUUUUAAUAGAAAGUAAGGUAUGAAUCAAGCCACGUCAGCAUUUAACUGAUAAAUUAACGGUUAGGCUAACGGAAGGUAUGACAUUGACGCAAAUUCAUAAAAUGAGGUAUGACAUUGUCAAUUUUAAAAGAUGAGGUAUGAAAGUGUCGUGACCCUAAUAGUUGAGGUAGUUUUUUGUACUUUACCCUUAUUUUUUUAUUUUAUAAUUAACUUUAAUUGUUAAAUAAAAAUUAAUAGUUUAUUAAUAAUUAAUUAGUUUUUUUUAUAUUCCACAUCACCAUUUAACAGUCAAAUUGACAGAAAAUUCAAGGAAAAUUUUAUUUAAACCCAUUUAAACUCUCUUUACACCCAACUUAAAUUUUAAAUGUUAAUUGUCUAUUUUAUCCUAUUGCAUAAUUACUAUUAAGUACAAAAUGACAUUAAUAAUAAAACUCAAAUUUAUCAAUAAACCCAAACACUAUAAUUAAACCCUACGAUUAUUCUUUGUUUAUACUACGUUCAUUCUGACUAAAACCCUAAUAGCUCUCAUAGAGAAAAAUAAGUUUUUUUAUUGAUGAGGUCUAUGCUUCAUGAUUGAUUUCAAAAAUCAUGACUCGCUCGGCUUUUUGAAAGCUACGCUCACCUCUGAAGAGGUCGAUCGGUUACUUCCAUCAAAAGAAGACUUGAAGCUCUUACUUGAAGAGGUCGAUCGGUAACUUCCAGUUCAAAAGCGUGUAGUUCCAACUAAAUUGUUUUUGGUCUACUUCGAACAGCCAUGAUUCUUCGAGCGAACCCUUAUUGCAUAUCAAAUUUUGAGAAAAGAAUUGGCAUUCAGCUUGAUCAGCUACGUUGGAAGAUCUUUUGAUGCCAAACUUCUCUUAUUCUAUACAAUGUUGACUGCGUGCAACGAAUUCUAGACCACUUCCUUGCCAUGGAACAAAUUACAGGAGGAGCUUCCUCCCAUCAAAUUUAGCUUCUAAAAAUCAAAUGGGUGUAAAAAUAAAUCCACAUAUUGAAUUGGGUUUAUGGGGGUAUAUUAUGUAUUAAAUUUGGGUUUAAAAAGAUAUUAAUAGUUUAGUUAAAAAUCAAAUGGGUGCAAAGAGUAAGUUGGGUAUAGAAAUAGGUUAGAUGGGUUUAAAUAAAAUUUCCCAAAAUUCAAAGAUCAUGUUUACUAAAAACCAUCUAAUUUCAACACCAUAUGAAUGUUAAAUUAAAUGAUAGUCAUUUCGUAUUUCUUUGCAAAAUCUUGUUCAUUUUCUUCAGUACAAAUUAAUGUCUUAUAGUUUUGAAUUUGUCUAAUUUUUUGCAAAAAUGAUUUAUGAAUGAUAAUAAUUGAAAUAUGGAUAAUUCGGAUAAUUGGAAAAGUUAUGGAAUGGAUCUUAUAAAAUGUGUGUCACCCAAUCCUAACCGCUUCAUUGGAUCUAUUGAUUUAUACAUAUGAAAUGAGAAAUGUAAUGGGAAGAAUUAUAUGAGAAUUUGCUCAUGAAAAGAGAGUUGAUUGAAGCUGUUGAAUGUUCUACAAACGAUGGCAAUGGAAUUGUGUAGUUUUGAGCUUAGUCGUAUAUAGGUGAAUAAGUACACGUGGUUUUUACCAAGUAAUUCGAGAAUAAUGGUAAAUAUUUGGACAAGAAGACUAACAAAAGGGAGAAUCGUGAGAUGAUUGAGAAUGUUAAUUCAUAUAGAUGGGCAUCCGAUACCAAGUGAUAUAAGUAUGGUAUGAGUAUUUUCUAUGUAUUUAUGAACCAAAGAGUCUGAAUUUUGCUUCUUACAAGGGGACAUAACUUUUGGAUUUGAAAUACUUGACAUGGAUCAAGUGGCAGUGUUGCAAAAAUUUCUUCCAACUUCGAGGGAUAUCAAUCUUAAUGAACCAACAUACGUUUUAUUUACAUUUUUUCUUUUCUGGUGCAUAAGAGGAAAAUUAAUUGAUGCAAAAUAUGCAAAGAGCUCAACUCUAGUCCAUCAAAUAUGCUGCUUUACUUCAAUUAAUAGACAAGAUACAUAAUCAGCCAAUAACAAAAGAGAAACAAAAUUAAAAAAAUUAAAAAAAAAAACACCAAAGGAAAAGUAAACAAAAGUAAAACAACUUUGGAAGGAGUUUGCAAAUUCCAGAGAGUGGAUCAUCGAUUAAUUGGGCAUAUUUGCGAGCUUGCGCCUCAACAUGUCUAUGUCUCUUUCUAUUUUUUUCUUCUCUCCAAUUUUCCUAUACAACUCAUUCUGUACAAGCUUCUUGUCCCUCUCUUUCUUCUCCUUUGCUUCUCUUAUCUUCCUAGCCUUCUCCAAUGCUUCCUUUUUCUUCUGAUCUUCUAUGGCUUUCCUCCUCCUAGCUAUCGCUAGCAGUUCAUCUUCUGUCAGUCUCACUUUUAUUCCUUUCUUGCCCCCAAACAUUUUGAUCUAAUCAGAGGUUUGCAAUAUGCAAAUAGGCAGUUCUCUUUGAUGGGUCUGAAAACAUAUACAUGAAUAGCUAUUUAUAUAUCUUGCUUUUGUAUUUGCUGGGUUGGUUCCUGGAAACAUCUGCAACCCUUCGUUGGAUAGACGGCCGGAUUACUUUUUUAUUUUUAUUUAUUUAAUUAAGUCAACAAUACUUGAUAUUUUUAAAGGAUGGAGGAGUGAGCUAAGCUUCGCAAUCAUUUUUUAUAUUUAAAUUCACAAAU